rnacentral:rRNA from 1 species
UACGUAGGGGGCAAGCGUUGUCCGGAAUCAUUGGGCGUAAAGAGCGUGUAGGCGGUUCGGUAAGUCGGCUGUGAAAGUCCAGGGCUCAACCCUGGGAUGUCGGUCGAUACUGCCGGACUAGAGUUCGGAAGAGGCGAGUGGAAUUCCCGGUGUAGCGGUGAAAUGCGCAGAUAUCGGGAGGAACACCAAGGACGAAGGUAACCACCUGGGCAUCAGCUGACACUCAUGUGCGACAGCGUGGGGAGCGAACCGG